rnacentral:rRNA from 1 species
UACGUAGGGUGCGAGCGUUGUCCGGAAUUACUGGGCGUAAAGAGCUCGUAGGUGGUUUGUCGCGUUGUUCGUGAAAACUCACAGCUCAACUGUGGGCGUGCGGGCGAUACGGGCAGACUGGAGUACUGCAGGGGAGACUGGAAUUCCUGGUGUAGCGGUGGAAUGCGCAGAUAUCAGGAGGAACACCGGUGGCGAAGGCGGCGACCUGGGUGGAUACUGACGCUGAGGUGCGAAAGCGUGGGGAGCAAACAGG